GAAGAAGGUACAAUGAUCUCAAAAGCUCCUUUAUUUGAGAAGUAUUACACAAGAAGUUACAUCAUUAUAAGAAGCAACAUCCACACGUGACAGCACGUGUUCAGGUAACCAUUGGCAUGGGACCCUCUGCUGCUGUGGCUUUCACAAACGGCUCAAGAAUCGCUUCUUAUAGCUAUCAACAUGUUCCCGUGGAUCGCCCCUUGUUUUUC
rnacentral:misc_RNA from 1 species